rnacentral:rRNA from 1 species
UACGAAGGUGUCUAGCGUUGUUCGGAAUCACUGGGCGUAAAGCGCGCGUAGGCGGCUUUUCAAGUCAGAGGUGAAAGCCUGGAGCUUAACUCCAGAAUUGCCUUUGAAACUGUAAAGCUAGAGUAUUGGAGAGGAGUGUGGAAUACCUAAUGUAGCGGUGAAAUGCGUAGAUAUUAGGUGGAACACCAAUGGCGAAGGCAGCACUCUGGACAAUAACUGACGCUGAGGUGCGAAAGCGUGGGGAUCAAACAGG